rnacentral:rRNA from 1 species
GACGAACGCUGGCGGCGUGCCUAAUACAUGCAAGUCGAACGCUUCUUUCCUCCCGAGUGCUUGCACUCAAUUGGAAAGAGGAGUGGCGGACGGGUGAGUAACACGUGAGUAACCUACCCAUCAGAGGGGGAUAACACUUGGAAACAGGUGCUAAUACCGCAUAACAGUUUAUGCCGCAUGGCAUAAGAGUGAAAGGCGCUUUCGGGUGUCGUUGAUGGAUGGACCCGCGGUGCAUUAGCUAGUUGGUGAGGUAACGGCUCACCAAGGCCACGAUGCAUAGCCGACCUGAGAGGGUGAUCGGCCACACUGGGACUGAGACACGGCCCAGACUCCUACGGGAGGCAGCAGUAGGGAAUCUUCGGCAAUGGACGAAAGUCUGACCGAGCAACGCCGCGUGAGUGAAGAAGGUUUUCGGAUCGUAAAACUCUGUUGUUAGAGAAGAACAAGGACGUUAGUAACUGAACGUCCCCUGACGGUAUCUAACCAGAAAGCCACGGCUAACUACGUG